GCGUUCGUGGUGUAGUGGUCAGCAUGUUCGACCCGUAACCGAAAGGUCCGUGGUUCGAUUCCAGGCGAAGUCU
rfam:Stegodyphus mimosarum contig107700, whole genome shotgun sequence.